AUGGCUCGCACCAAGCAGACCGCCCGCAAGUCCACCAGGGGCACGGCGCCCAGGAAGCAGCUGGCGACCAAGGCCGCGCGCAAGAGCGCGCCCUCCACCGGAGGGGUGAAGAAGCCACACCGCUACAGGCCUGGUACUGUGGUGCUCCGUGAAAUGAGACGCUACCAGAAGUGCACAGAACUUCUGAUUCGCAAGCUCCCUUUCCAGCGUCUGGUGCGAGAAAUUGCUCAGGACUUCAAAACAGACCUGCGCUUCCAGAGUGCAGCUGUUGGUGCUUUGUAGGAGGCAAGUGAGGCCUAUCUCGUUGGCCUUUUUGAAGAUACCAAUCUGUGUGCUAUCCAUGCCAAAUAUGUGACAAUUAUGCCAAAAGAUAUCCAGCUAGCACGCCGCAUACGUGGAGAACGUGCUUAAGAAUCCACUAAAAUGGGAGGCAUUUCAUUCUCAAAAUCCCCCCCUCCCCCCCCCC